rnacentral:rRNA from 1 species
AUUGAACGCUGGCGGCAGGCCUAACACAUGCAAGUCGAGCGGGGUUUUCGGACCUAGCGGCGGACGGGUGAGUAAUGCGUAGGAAGCUACCCGAUAGAGGGGGAUACCAGUUGGAAACGACUGUUAAUACCGCAUAAUGUCUACGGACCAAAGUGUGGGACCUUCGGGCCACAUGCUAUCGGAUGCGCCUACGUGGGAUUAGCUAGUUGGUGGGGUAAUGGCUCACCAAGGCGACGAUCCCUAGCUGGUUUGAGAGGAUGAUCAGCCACACUGGAACUGAGACACGGUCCAGACUCCUACGGGAGGCAGCAGUGGGGAAUAUUGGACAAUGGGCGCAAGCCUGAUCCAGCCAUGCCGCGUGUGUGAAGAAGGCCUUCGGGUUGUAAAGCACUUUCAGUAGGGAGGAAGGAUGUUGUGUUAAUAGCACAGCAUUUUGACGUUACCUACAGAAGAAGCACCGGCUAACUCUGUGCCAGCCGCCGCCGUAACAC